AGAGUUUGAUCAUGGCUCAGGACGAACGCUGGCGGCGCGCUUAACACAUGCAAGUCGAGCGAGAACCAGGGCUUCGGCCCUGGGGACAGCGGCGAACGGGUGAGUAACACGUGAGUAAUCCACCCUCGGUACCGGAAUAGCCCGGGGAAACCCGGAUUAAUGCCGGAUGGCCCAACAGCUCUACGGGGCGGUUGGAAAAGAUAGCUUCGGCCUUCGACCGAGGACGAGCUCGCGGCGGAUUAGCUUGUUGGUGGGGUAACGGCCCACCAAGGCGACGAUCCGUAGCUGGUCUGAGAGGACGAUCAGCCACACUGGGACUGAGACACGGCCCAGACUCCUACGGGAGGCAGCAGUGGGGAAUCUUGCGCAAUGGGCGAAAGCCUGACGCAGCGACGCCGCGUGCGGGAAGAAGGCCUUCGGGUUGUAAACCGCUUUCAGGAGGGACGAAGCCACUCGGGUUAAUAGCCCAGAGGGUGACGGUACCUCCAGAAGAAGCCCCGGCUACUACGUGCCAGCAGCCGCGGUA
rnacentral:rRNA from 1 species